rnacentral:rRNA from 1 species
CCUAACACAUGCAAGUCGAACGGUAACAGGAAACAGCUUGCUGUUUCGCUGACGAAUGGCGGACGGGUGAGUAAUGUCUGGGAAACUGCCUGAUGGAGGGGGAUAACUACUGGAAACGGUAGCUAAUACCGCAUAACGUCGCAAGACCAAAGAGGGGGACCUUCGGGCCUCUUGCCAUCGGAUGUGCCCAGAUGGGAUUAGCUAGUAGGUGGGGUAACGGCUCACCUAGGCGACGAUCCCUAGCUGGUCUGAGAGGAUGACCAGCCACACUGGAACUGAGACACGGUCCAGACUCCUACGGGAGGCAGCAGUGGGGAAUAUUGCACAAUGGGCGCAAGC